rnacentral:rRNA from 1 species
ACGAACGCUGGCGGCACGCUUAACACAUGCAAGUCGAACGAGAGAAGAGAAGCUUGCUUUUCUGAUCUAGUGGCGGACGGGUGAGUAACACGUGAGCAAUCUGCCUUUCAGAGGGGGAUACCGAUUGGAAACGAUCGUUAAUACCGCAUAACAUAAUUGAACCGCAUGAUUUGAUUAUCAAAGAUUUAUCGCUGAAAGAUGAGCUCGCGUCUGAUUAGCUAGUUGGUAAGGUAACGGCUUACCAAGGCGACGAUCAGUAGCCGGACUGAGAGGUUGAUCGGCCACAUUGGGACUGAGACACGGCCCAGACUCCUACGGGAGGCAGCAGUGGGGAAUAUUGCACAAUGGAGGAAACUCUGAUGCAGCGAUGCCGCGUGAGGGAAGAAGGUUUUAGGAUUGUAAACCUCUGUCUUCAGGGACGAAAAAAGACGGUACCUGAGGAGGAAGCUCCGGCUAACUACGUGCCAGCAGCCGCGGUAAUACGUAGGGAGCGAGCGUUGUCCGGAAUUACUGGGUGUAAAGGGAGCGUAGGCGGGAUCGCAAGUCAGAUGUGAAAACUAUGGGCUUAACCCAUAAACUGCAUUUGAAACUGUGGUUCUUGAGUGAAGUAGAGGUAAGCGGAAUUCCUAGUGUAGCGGUGAAAUGCGUAGAUAUUAGGAGGAACAUCAGUGGCGAAGGCGGCUUACUGGGCUUUAACUGACGCUGAGGCUCGAAAGCGUGGGGAGCAAACAGGAUUAGAUACCCUGGUAGUCCACGCCGUAAACGAUGAUUACUAGGUGUGGGGGGACUGACCCCUUCCGUGCCGCAGCAAACGCAAUAAGUGAUCCACCUGGGGAGUACGACCGCAAGGUUGAAACUCAAAGGAAUUGACGGGGGCCCGCACAAGCAGUGGAGUAUGUGGAUUAAUUCGAAGCAACGCGAAGAACCUUACCAGGUCUUGACAUCGUAUGCAUAGCUCAGAGAUGAGUGAAAUCUCUUCGGAGACAUAUAGACAGGUGGUGCAUGGUUGUCGUCAGCUCGUGUCGUGAGAUGUUGGGUUAAGUCCCGCAACGAGCGCAACCCUUACUGUUAGUUGCUACGCAAGAGCACUCUAGCAGGACUGCCGUUGACAAAACGGAGGAAGGUGGGGAUGACGUCAAAUCAUCAUGCCCCUUAUGACCUGGGCCUCACACGUACUACAAUGGCUGUAAACAGAGGGAUGCAAAGCCGCGAGGUGGAGCGAACCCCUAAAAGCAGUCUUAGUUCGGAUUGUAGGCUGCAACCCGCCUACAUGAAGUCGGAAUUGCUAGUAAUCGCAGAUCAGCAUGCUGCGGUGAAUACGUUCCCGGGCCUUGUACACACCGCCCGUCACGCCAUGGGAGUCGGUAACACCCGAAGCCUGUAGUCUAACCGCAAGGAGGACGCAGUCGAAGGUGGGAUUGAUGACUGGGGUG